rnacentral:tRNA from 1 species
CAAGGAGACAACAAAAUGUUUUGAUAUAAAUUUUGUCACCUUAGGUCGAUCGGUAUCUCAGAUUUUCAUAAUUGAAAAUUUCAGUUUCUAAGUUUUUUCUAGGUCACCCAUUUUUCCUGGGCCAUUAGCUCAGGUGGUUAGAGCGCACCCCUGAUAAGGGUGAGGUCCCUGGUUCAAGUCCAGGAUGGCCCAUAUCUCUAUUAUUGGGGGUAUAGCUCAGUUGGUAGAGCGCCUGCUUUGCAAGCAGGAUGUCAGCGGUUCGAGUCCGCUUACCUCCACUGAAUACCACCCUUCCAAAGAGAAGGAAUAUUUGGGAUUGACUUUAAUCUGAAUGAAUCUAGCUUCCUAUUAUUUAAAUUAAUUAAUAAGAUGCUGGACUCAAUGAAUUUUUUAAUUCUUUGUUUUCAGAGAACCUUGACAACUGCAUAGAUUUUUUCAAAACAAUAAGCAUCUUUUAAGAUGCAGAUUUAUUAUUGGUGCUUAUGCAUUAAUAACAAUUCUAUUGAGCUGAUGCUUCAAUUUUUUGAAGUUAUU